CCUACGGGUGGCAGCAGUAGGGAAUCUUCCACAAUGGGCGAAAGCCUGAUGGAGCAACGCCGCGUGGGUGAAGAAGGUCUUCGGAUCGUAAAACCCUUUUGUUAGAGAAGAAAGUGCGUGCGAGUAACUGUUCACGUUUCGACGGUAUCUAACCAGAAAGCCACGGCUAACUACGUGCCAGCAGCCGAGGUAAUACGUAGGUGGCAAGCGUUAUCCGGAUUUAUUGGGUGUAAAGGGAGCGCAGGCGGUAUUUUAAGUCUGAUGUGAAAGCCUUCGGCUUAACCGGAGUAGUGCAUUGGAAACUGGGAGACGUGAGUGCAGAAGAGGAGAGUGGAACGCCAUGUGUAGCGGUGAAAUGCGUAGAUAUAAGGAAGAACACCGGUGGCGAAAGCGGCUCUCUGGUCUGUAACUGACGCUGAGGUUCGAAAGCGUAGGUAGCAAACAGGAUUAGAUACCCUUGUAGUC
rnacentral:rRNA from 1 species